UACGGGGGGGGCAAGCGUUGUUCGGAAUUACUGGGCGUAAAGGGCUCGUAGGCGGCCAACUAAGUCAGACGUGAAAUCCCUCGGCUUAACCGGGGAACUGCGUCCGAUACUGGGAGGCUUGAAUCCGGGAGAGGGAUGUGGAAUUCCAGGUGUAGCGGUGAAAUGCGUAGAUAUCUGGAGGAACACCGGUGGCGAAGGCGGCAUCCUGGACCGGUAUUGACGCUGAUGCGCGAAAGCCAGGGGAGCAAACGGG
rnacentral:rRNA from 1 species